rnacentral:rRNA from 1 species
UACGUAGGGGGCAAGCGUUGUCCGGAUUUAUUGGGCGUAAAGAGCGUGUAGGCGGCCAAGCAGGUCCGCUGUGAAAACUCGAGGCUCAACCUCGAGAGGUCGGUGGAAACCGUUUGGCUAGAGUCCGGAAGAGGAGAGUGGAAUUCCCGGUGUAGCGGUGAAAUGCGCAGAUAUCGGGGAGAACACCCGUGGCGAAGGCGGCUCUCUGGGACGGUACUGACGCUGAGACGCGAAAGCGUGGGGAGCGAACAGG